rnacentral:rRNA from 1 species
GACGAACGCUGGCGGCGUGCUUAACACAUGCAAGUCGAACGGAAAGGCCCUGCUUUUGUGGGGUGCUCGAGUGGCGAACGGGUGAGUAACACGUGAGUAACCUGCCCUUGACUUUGGGAUAACUUCAGGAAACUGGGGCUAAUACCGGAUAGGAGCUCCUGCUGCAUGGUGGGGGUUGGAAAGUUUCGGCGGUUGGGGAUGGACUCGCGGCUUAUCAGCUUGUUGGUGGGGUAGUGGCUUACCAAGGCUUUGACGGGUAGCCGGCCUGAGAGGGUGACCGGCCACAUUGGGACUGAGAUACGGCCCAUACUCCUACGGGAGGCAGCAGUGGGGAAUAUUGCACAAUGGGCGGAAGCCUCGUGCAGCAACGCCGCGUACGGGAUGACGGCCUUCGGGUUGUAAACCGCUUUCGCCUGUGACGAAGCGUGAGUGACGGUAAUGGGUAAAGAAGCACCGGCUAACUACGUG